AUCAGCAAUGACCUCGCGCGGUUGGAUGGACCGAUGUUCGAUUAGCUAGUUGGUGAGGUAAUGGCUCACCAAGGCGACGAUCGAUAGCUGGUCUGAGAGGAUGAUCAGCCACACUGGGACUGAGACACGGCCCAGACUCCUACGGGAGGCAGCAGUGGGGAAUAUUGGACAAUGGGCGCAAGCCUGAUCCAGCAAUGCCGCGUGUGUGAAGAAGGCCUUCGGGUUGUAAAGCACUUUUAUCAGGAGCGAAAUACCACGGGUUAAUACCCUAUGGGGCUGACGGUACCUGAGGAAUAAGCACCGGCUAACUUCGUGCCAGCAGCCGCGGUAAUACGAAGGGUGCAAGCGUUAAUCGGAAUUACUGGGCGUAAAGCGUGCGUAGGCGGUUGUUUAAGUCUGCUGUGAAAUCCCCGGGCUCAACCUGGGAAUGGCAGUGGAUACUGGACAGCUAGAGUGUGAUAGAGGAUGGUGGAAUUCCCGGUGUAGCGGUGAAAUGCGUAGAGAUCGGGAGGAACAUCAGUGGCGAAGGCGGCCAUCU
rnacentral:rRNA from 1 species